rnacentral:snRNA from 1 species
UUACUCUGGUUUCCCUUCAAAUCACGUUUAAAUCUUUCGCCUUUUACUAAAGAUUUCCGUGGAGGGGGACAAUUGAUGAGUCUUAUACAAUAAUUUUUUGCUGUACCCAACGUAAGUUGGGUCG